UAGGGAAACUCGAUGAGUUGGAGGCCCCAACUCGUCGAGUAGGGACUGAGAUGGCCGCACGAACUUUAGAACCAACUCGACGAUGUAACACCAGGUUUCCCAGGUAUAUUGGUUUAUGUUGUAUUUCUUUAAUUAUGUAAGGCGACUCGACGAGUUAGUGCUUCGACUCGUCGAGUCUGGUCGCGACUGGAUGACGUGGUUAAUGAGAUGACUCGACGAGUCAAGGGAGUGACUCGUCAAGUCAGAGCUGAUGAAAGAAACCCUAAUUUCUUGGGUUGGGACCUAUUUAAAGGCCCUUAUGGCCUUCAUUUGCGGCUACCAGUCCAUAGAGAGAAACCCUAGAGUGCUUGAGCGUUUUGAGAGAGAAGGGAAACCAUUCUUGUCCUUUGUGGUGUUGUUUAGCAAGAAGAACGAGGUCCUAGCCAAGAGGAAGCAAAGGAGGUUGCUAUUAUCUGGAUUUGAAGCUAAGAUCAUCGCUUUUGAGGUAUUAAUUCGGCUCUUCUUCUGUUUUAUGAAGAAUAUAUGGAUUUAGGGUAUCUUGUGCCCUUUACUAGGUUGAUUUGAUGUCCAAAUAGUCCCUUUCUGGUGAUGAAGCUUUGGAUCUGGAUCCAUAGAGGUCCAGAGAGCCUUAUUCAUCAAGCUUUAUGAAGAGCAAUGGAGGUUAUGACCUUGGGUUAAGGUAUUUGGGGCUAAAUCAUCAUAUAUGGUCAUAUAGAUGUUGCAUGUGCAUCAAGAUAGAGACUUUACGUGAUUAUUGAACUUGGGAAGGUUAGAUCUAAGGGUUAGAGGAAUAGAUCUUGCCUUAGAAGGUUUCUUGAGGUUGUGCAUGAAAUGAACUCGGUGAGUCCAUGAGCGGACUCGACGAGUCGGAGCAGGUUGUCCCGUGACUCAAAUAUGUGGAUGACUCGCCGAGUUGGGUGAGUGACUUGGUGAGUCAGAAAAGAUUCAAAGGACUAGAGUUCAUGUAUGGACUCGACGAGUCGGGUCAAAGGUUAACCGUUGACCAGCGUUGACAAGGGUUGACUAGUGUUGACUUAAUAGUGUUAGUCAAACUAUGCCAGAAAAAUAUUAAUUAGAGAUGUAUUCAUGAUAUAGGAGGACGAUAGGUCGGGGAAUCGAGCACGAGUGAUUAUCCGACAUCCAGCAAGGUGAGUCUUCUCACUAUACUUUACCGUGAGUGGUAAUUAGAGUUAUGUGACAAAGUUAUUGUAUGUUAUUUAUGUGAUGUGUUGCAUUGCAUUAUUUCUAUGUGAUUUAUGUUGUGUGUAUAUCAAUGUAUAUCAGAGUUAGAACCCGAAGGUUCACAGAGCUAGGACCAGAGGGUCCACAGAGUUAGGGCCCAAGGGCCCAUAGAUUUAUAGCCUCGAGUGGCUAGUAUGUGUUAUGUGUGGUAUUUUGGGGAACUCACUAAGCUUCGUGCUUACAGUGUUUUGUGUUACGCGUUUCAGGUACUAGUGAGGAUCAUAGAAAGGUGCCAACAAGAUCAGUACACACACACACACAGAGUUUUAUACAUGAUAUGAUCUUGGGAUUUUGACUUAUGUUUGGAUAUGUGGAACAAUGAGUUUUAUGAUACUGUGAAAUAAAGUGUUUUUUUAAUUGUGAAAAUUUGUUUGAAAUUUUACGACGUUACAAGUUGGUAUCAGAGCCUUGGUUUGAGGGACUCGGAUGCACCUUCGGGCGUAUCUGAACUCAAACUGAGGAUUUGAGGAAAUUUUUUGAUAAUAAAGUAAUUAUCAAAGAGUAAAAGAGUUUUGAAACAAACAGAGCAGAGCCGUGUGUACGAUCAGCCAAAGCCCGAACGGUGAUUUCCCAAAAUACCCUUACAAUAAGUGUUAUGAGAUAUGUUAUGCUAUGAUGUAUGAUGAGUUAUAUUAUGCAUGCUAGAUUAGACUAGGUAUUCUUAUUAGGACUAGAGUGGCCUGAUUUGUGAUGCCUUAGUCUAGGAGUUUUGCUGCUAGGGAUGCUUGGGAGUGAUUAGGUAGCAGCGAAGAGCUUAUGAGGGAUCUGCUAGUGAGUAGCAUAUGAUUAGAGAGAGUAGAGUACUUGGGACUUGGUACCCUAGGAGGAGGACUUGGGGUGGAUGCUGAUGCGGUGUAGGCAGUAGUAUUAGGCCCGUACUACUGAAGUCAUCGGAUCAGUGCACAGCCCAAGUAAGAAUCCUUGGAGUACUAAGGAACAAGUAGGGUGGAGUUAUCGAGUGCGAGUAUACUCGAGCGAGUCCCUGACAUUCCUUAUGUUGUAUUUCAAAGACAUCAUGGUUGGGACACGCCACACACCAGAGAGCAACGGUACUAGUGAUGAGGAGAUAUGUAUGAUCAUUCAUGAGGAGGUGGCUGCAGCCAUCAGGGCAGAGAUACUAGAGAUGUUUGGGUCUAUCAUGACCAUGCUGAUAGAGACUUUCGAUGAGCGAUAUGUUGCUCUUUCUGAUGCAGUUGUUGCUGCGGAUACUGUAGUUGUAGCUGCGGCUAGACCGCAGGGUGGUGAUGCGUUGCUGUUCCGGGAGUUCAGCAACACAAAACCACCAGAGUUUGAUGGGACGCAGGAUCCGGUUGCAGCAAUGAGGUGGAUUUCAGACAUCGAGGGGUGUUUCUUUACGUGCUCUUUUCCAGAGCAUUUGAGGGUUCGGUUCGCGCUGAACCAGCUUCGCUUGGGAGCGAAGGACUGGUGGAAGUUUGUUACGGCGCACCAUUCACCUGCUGAGCUUGCUGCAGUGACCUGGUAGAGGUUCACUGCUAUGUUCCAAGAUGAGUACGUUCCCCAGGUGGAGAGGAAGCGUUUGGCACAGGAGUUUCUGACCCUCAAGUAGGGUACUGAGUAUGUUACAGUGAUUACAAGGAUGCUCCAUGAGCGGGCGAUGUUCUGCCCAGAGCACAUGUCCUCCAAGCAGGCACGUAUGAGCCGAUAUCUGAGCAUUUUGAGGAGGGAUAUACGAGAGUUCACGGCGAACUCGUCGUACCGGACAUUUGCCGAGCUUCAGGAAAAUGCUCGGAAAAGGGAGACAGAGCUGGAGACUCAGGCUAGGGAGGAGGUGGAGUCUCAGGGGAGGGAUCGGCAACCGGCACGGUCUCAGCCGGCAGCCAAGCGGGCCAAGCCCACUGAUCCCAGAUCAGGGAACCAGAAGGGUCGCACUUGUGGCAAGUGUCAUGAUGGGGUAUGCAGAGCGGGGUCUUGCAACAAGUGUGGCAAUGAGGGGCAUAUGGCCAAGGAUUGCCCCAAGGGGUUCACAGUCUAUUUCCACUGCAACCGGACCGGACACCGGAAGGCAGAGUGUCCGCAGCUGCGGGGAUCAGCACAGGGAGCAUGUUAGGGAUCUGCCCCUGCUACUAUCAGAGCUAUCGAGAGCCGGCCAGUAAAGGCCGAGGUACCGAAGGAACAAGGGAGAGCCUUCCAGUUGACCGCGGAGGAGGUCCGCGCAGCACCCGAUGUCGCGGCUGGUAUGUAUUCUUUCAUGUAUUUAUUUUGAUGAUUGAGAUAUUGUGAUUAUAUUAUGUUAUGUGUAGGUACUUUUCUUGUGAGUUCUGUACCUGCCUUGGUGUUAUUUGACUCGAGUGCGAGUCGGUCUUUUGUAUCCUUGGCUUUUAGUCAGCACAUCAGUAUUAGUCGAGAGGUGUUGAGUCGACCUCUAAGAGUUUCCAUAGCUGACGAGAGGGUGGUGUAUGCCACAGAGGUGAUCCAAGAGUGUGUGUAACAUCCCAAAAUUCAAGCCCAAAAAUUUCAUUUUUGAUUAAUUAAUUCAUAAACAUUCAUUAGAAAGUAUUGUAUAAGCAUGGCAUCUCAAAACCAUGUAUCAUAUUUGAAACCCACAACCAUGAACAAAUGUCAUAUCAGAGUACAAUCCCAGAAAACACCAUGCGGAAAAAUCAUAUGGAUGUGUGUGAUGCCAUGCUACGCCACCGGCUCCUUCCCCUUCGAUGAAGAGGUACCUAAAACCAAAAACUGAAACCGUAAGCACAAAGCUUAGCGAGUUCCCCCAUCAUACCACAUACCAAACAAUACCAUCGGUAUCUUUCAACCGGUAAUCAUCAUCGGUAUCUUUCAAUCGGUAACCAUCAUCGGUAUCUUUCUACCGGUAACUGGGGACUAUUCCACCCCUUACCACUAGCAUACGAUAGCAAGAUAAAAACACUCAUUCAGACAUAUCCGGUUACUGACCUAUCCCUUGGUCCUACGGACCACUAUCAGGGAAACUGUCCCUAUCAUGUAACAUAUCAUGCAAAUAUAACUCAUAACCAAACGCAUACCAGACCAAGAUAAUUUAUCACAAUGAAAAUUAUCUCCUAAAUACUCCUCAAUGGUGGGCCGGCAUUGUGGCCUUAGACCCACCCCUACUGGUAGGUAACUCACCUCGUAUCUGCUGAACUGUGCAGGAAUCCUCUGACUGCUGCCACUGCUGCUCCGGAAAUCCACCAGCUAAAAUUCCCACAAAACACUUAGUCAGAAACUGACAUCUACCCUUAGGGUAAAAUGACCAUUUUACCCCUUGAACAAAUCAAAGUCAAAGUCAAAGUCAACUUCCAGUUGACCUGACUCGCCGAGUUGACUCGUCAACUCGCCGAGUCCCUACCCUUCCAUCAGACCUCAUACCCGUCUCUACUCGUCGAGUUAGGCGAUGACUCGACGAGUUUUCCUUCUAAAUGAACACCGACUGAAUCAACCUCCGACUCUGUAACACUCGUGUUUCUAGCCUAGGCAUUUAUAUUGAGUUGAUAGUCUAGGUUAACCUUUGUAACUCAUUUUGAAUAAAUGAAAAGGAAUUAUGUGAAUAUUAUGUGAAUUAUGUGUUUUCUGCUUAAUUAUUAGGGCUUAAUUAAUUAAGAAUAGAAAUAAGCAUCAAAAUUAAAGUGUGAGAUAAUCCCGAUAUCUUUACAUAAAGUUUUAGUAGUCGAAACAAGGAUUUCGGGGAUAUAAAGAAUACCAAAAUCCGAGUUAUAACGAAAAAGUUAUGACCUGUCGAAGUUUCGCGACAAAACCGGCACGGCGCUGAAUGUCGUAAAAAGUGAGUUUGUGAUAAACUACUUUUUAGCCUUACUAAUCUAAACAAAAGUCGUAGUAUUCAUUAAAACGAGAAGUUCGAUAAAAAGAACGUCCAAAUCUGACUUCGUAUGAGGAAGAUAUGAUUUUUCGAAGUUUCAGCUUAGCAGUAAACAACUAAAAACUCGAAUUUUAGAUCGAGCGAUUUUAGCCGACACAACCUAAACGAGAAUUGAAGGUCUCGUCAUUAGUAGCACAACGGUAAAAAGUCUGACGAAAACGGACGUCGGAUGAAGAAAUUAUGAAUUUUUAACGGAUUUCUUGUCCCGGUCUGUUAAAAAUAAUAAUAAAAAAAUUAAAUUCAAAAUUAGCCGACAAAGUCUAAACGGAAGUCGUAGAGCGUAAUUUUAGCUACGCGUGCAUGUAAAGAACAUCAAAAACAGAGCUCGUAUGCGAAAGUUAUGGAUUUUAGAUGGUUUGGCGCGAAAAUCGACAAAAAUUCGCACAGUCACACUUUGCCACGUCACCCUCGCUUAGAAUGUGACACGUGCCCUGUUAAGUCACCGAGCUGCUGAGUCAUCCGAAGCCGUGGCACAUCCGAGGAGAGACGCGUGUGCAGCCUAGUCCGAGCCUCGCAACGCCUGCCACGUGUCCGACCUUCGCACCAACUGUCUCCCUUCCCUCAUGCUUCGGGUCCGAACCUUGGACCUAGACUCCGGUCCACUUAGAAGUUGCCAGCGAGCCCCUCGCAGGUGCGACCCAUGUGCGAGCCGUGCGCAGCCCACGUGCGAGCCCUUCCCUGCAAGCCUUCGGAUCUUCGCCACCUGGAGACUUCUCAGCCGUCCGAUCAGAAGCUUCCCCCUAUAAAUAAAAGGUUGCGAGCCUUCUCGGAUAUUUUUAAGAAUUGCCAUAUUUAGCCCCUUUCUUCAUCUUUUCUUCACCUUAACCUUCCCCGAAGCCCCGGUAUUGAUUUUAAACCCAGGAAUACUCCACGAAGUGCCUGUGAAGCCCGGAAAAUUUAUCUUUUCGGUUUCGAAGCCCGACUCUUACAAAGCCCGGUUUCUCAAUAAAACUCCCGGUUUUAUUAGAAACAAUCGUUUUAGGAAACGAAUUGCUGCCCGAUUAUCAUCAAAUCAUGUGAGUGUGUAGUUACUUUCAAUUUACACAUAGAUAUGAAGUAUUUACCUUGAAAUACGUGUUAUGUGUAAAUAUGUUAAUUGUUUAUUUGAGGUGACUAUUGAAUUGAUGUUUUAUAUAAGUUUUAAAAUGUAUAUGCUUUUUAUCUACAAAAUAUGUUGGGUAGAACAUGGGUAGAUGAAAUAGUUGAUGUGUGUUAAAAAGGUGAGAGGCCUCGAUGUUGUUGUUGUUGUUGUUGUCAUCUAGAGGAGUAUAGAUGACGACCACGGACUUUUCUAGACAGUUCAGUGGAACACUAGCAGGUUCGCAACUUGUAGGUGUUGAUGAAUUAAAUGUUCAUUGGUGUACUCCAUCCCCCUCAUGGUUGCCUUUAGGACAUGUAUGGCUGAGGAAACCCCUUAGCAGUAGUGUCCAUCCCGAUGAUAAUCCUUAGGCUAGGUCCCUUGUGAUAGGUGUUUAGGGACGUAAAGUGAGGACAACGGGAAUGGGUAAUCAGGGUUAUUGUUGAUUGGUGAACUUAAUAAGUAUAUUAUUAUUGUGGGUUGAAAACCCUAUAUGCUCACCAGGCUCCCAUGCCUGACCCACUCAGUUUUAUGAUUACAGGUAGUGGACCCCGGGCAUAGUUGGAGGACGAUGAGAGAUUUUUGGAUUAUAGGCCAAUAGUUGUAUAUAACUGUUGAAAGGCUUAUAAUAUCUUGUUUAUGAUUUUGAUCUGUAUCGAAACAUGACAUCUGGAGGUUUUGAUAUGAAAUGAAACUAUACAUUUCUUAAAGAAGGUUUUGAUAAACUUAUAUCAUGUUUUGUUUUGGGAAAAAAAUUCCGCAACAUCUUUUAAAAAGAUUUCUUUGAUUUUAAUUUAAAAAGCAUAAAUUAAAUCGGUCUUUUCUGGCCGAGAAAUUAGGGGAUGUCACAGUUGGUAUCAGAGCAUUAGUUUAAGCGAACUAAGAAAUUGUAGAAUUUCUAGACUUGAACUUAGAAUGCUAAGUGAUGAUUGUGAGAUGAGUGUCUACCAUAUUUUAGACACGAGCACUAGUUUAUUUUAGGGAAGAUGCCUAAAAUGCCCUUAUGUGCUAAAUGCUAUGUGUUUGCCAUGUGUGCCAUUAUUUGUUCGGAUCUAUGGUCUGUUGCCGACCGGAUCUGGAAACCUUAUGUGUGUAGGAUUCUAAGCGUAUGAAUACGAGAUUAGAACUAACAUGUAAACGUUUCGGAGUGAUAAGGGAAUUGACAUGUCUAACAAGGAUAAAGACCUAAAUUCGCCUUAUUCGGUAUAUAGAUUGUAAUGGCAAGAACUCGGAGUGGAGCUGGAAAUGCAAACAGAAACCAACAACCUCAACCCCAAGUGGUGGAACAGGUGCCUAUAGUAGGAGCUGCACCCGAACCCAUCACCAUGGCUGGAGUACAAACUAUGAUUCAGACCAUGUUGGCUGAACAGAGAGAAGAAUUGAGGCAAAUGUUGCUGAACGACAGGGACGAACCUUCAGUUCCUGUUGAACAACGUGAACUAAAUGACGAUCGAUCUGAAGAAGGGAACAACAGUAGAUCGGUUAGUCAUAGUGAACCGCUUGUGGUUGGGAGAAAUAACCACGAGGGUAGAAUGGAGAGAAAUGGGUGCAAGUAUAAGGACUUUAUGACUUGCAAGCCAUCGACCUUCAAUGGAAAAGAAGAUCCUGUCGGAGUAAUGGACUGGAUCUCGGAAAUGGAGUUGGCUUUCAUGACUUGUGAUUGCCAAGGCAAGUUACAAACUACGUUUGCAGUACGUCAGUUCAGGGGUAGUGCUGCUCGUUGGUGGAGCACUUUGGGGAAAACCCUAAGCCCUAAUGAGCCACUGCAAUUAACUUGGGCAGAGUUCUUAGUGCACUUCAAGCGCAAGUACUGCUCGGCCCAAAACGUACUUGAGUUAGAAAACCAAUUUCUAACGUUGCAGAAGGGGAGUAUGACCGUUGACGAAUAUAGGAAUAACUUCACAGACAAAAUGGAGUUUGCUUUGCGUAUUGUCCCAGAUGAGUUGGCAAAAAUUUACAGGUACGCAAAGGGACUUCCAUGGGAGUACGCAGUGCCAGUAUGUCAGGCAGUUACUUUGGAGGUAGCUAUCUGGGCUGCCAAUUUUGUUGAAGAUAUGAUAAAAGGGAGAGCCGCCAGCAAGGUUGAAGUUGGCGAAAAGAGAAAGUUUGAAGGAACUUCAGGUUCCAAUAAAAAGAACAAAUUCUCGAAGACUGGUUCGAGAAAGUUUGGAGGAGGAAGCGAAGCCAAGUGGUGUGACAAGUGUAGGAAGAAACAUGCUGGGAAGUGCAGCGUGGAAGUCACUUGUUACAAAUGUGGAAAGCCAGGGCAUUAUGCCAAUGAAUGCACCUUCAAUAAGAACGUAUGUUUUGGGUGCAAUGAAGAAGGGCAUAUUUUGAGGGACUGCCCGAAGAAGAAGGACGCAGCAAAACCCAAUCUACCACCAAAGCCGAAGGCGAGAGCCUUUCAGAUGACACUCGAAGCUGCGAAAGAAGAAGCCGAUGUCGCUUCAGGUACCUUUCUCGUAAACGAAUUGCCUUCCCAAAAUUUGUUUGAUUCUGGAGCCAAUUACUCCUUUAUAUCACAUGAAUUUGGUAGAAAGCUAGCUUUGCCUGUAGAUAUGCUAGUUAAUGCUAUAAUAGUCGAGAUUGCUAGUGGCAAGUUUGUACCUGUUAGCCAUCGUAUGAAAAACAUCCUCAUUGACUUGGAUGGGAAUAAGUUCCAAGAGGAAUUAUUGCCUAUCGAGUUAAAUGGAUUCGACAUAGUUUUAGGAAUGGAUUGGCUUAGCGCCAAUGAUGCAGAAAUACUAUGUAGAAAGAAGAUAGUAAAAGUAAACCCGCCAGGGAAAGAGUCGUUUAUGGUGUACGGAGACAAACGCAGAGUAAACUCUGGAAUCAUUUCCCUAAUGAAAGCCAGAAAGUGUUUGGCCAAGGGAUGUACAUCAUAUCUAGCGUUCGUAAUCGAUGCUAAGAUGGAAAAGAAGGAGGUGCAAAAUAUUCUGGUGGUGCAUGAGUAUCCGGAAGUCUUUCCCGAAGAUCUUCCCGGAUUGCCCCCUGAUCGACAAGUAGAAUUUCGUAUCGACUUGUUACCAGGAACGACGCCGAUAGCGAAAGCACCUUAUCGAUUAGCGCCAACCGAAAUGAAAGAACUUAUGACACAACUUCAGGAGUUAUUGGACAAAGGUUUCAUUCGACCUAGUUCAUCACCCUGGGGAGCCCCUGUGUUAUUUGUAAAGAAGAAAGACGGAAGCAUGAGAAUGUGCAUCGAUUACAGAGAGCUGAACAAAGUGACGAUAAAGAACAAGUACCCGUUGCCAAGGAUCGAUGACUUGUUCGACCAGUUGCAGGGUUCGAGCUAUUUCUCGAAGAUCGAUCUUAGGUCGGGAUACCAUCAACUAAAGGUGAGAGAGCAGGAUAUCGAAAUGACUGCGUUUAGAACGAGAUAUGGACACUAUGAAGUUUUGGUUAUGUCAUUCGGACUAACCAAUGCCCCAGCAGCUUUCAUGGAUUUGAUGAAUAGGGUUUGUAAACCAUUCUUAGAUAAAUCCGUGAUAGUAUUCAUAGAUGAUAUCUUGAUUUAUUCGAAAAGCAAGCAGGAGCAUGAAAAGCAUCUGCGUGAAGUGCUAGAAGUCCUGAAAAAGGAGAAGCUGUAUGCAAAGUUCUCCAAGUGUGAAUUUUGGAUUCAAGAAGUCCAAUUUUUAGGUCAUGUGGUUAACCAAGAAGGGAUAAUGGUCGACCCAGCAAAGAUUGAAGCUGUAAUGAAGUGGGAACAACCAAAAAGUCCUACGGAGAUUCGAAGCUUUUUAGGAUUAGCUGGAUAUUACCGAAGGUUUAUCCAAGGCUUUUCUUCGAUUGCUACUCCAUUAACAGCUUUGACCCACAAAGGAGCCACUUAUGCUUGGAAUGAGAAGCAUAAGGAAGCCUUUGAGAAGUUGAAGAAGAGAUUGUGUGAAGCACCGAUUCUUUCAUUGCCUGAAGGAGUUGAUGACUUUGCAGUUUAUAGCGAUGCAUCCGGAGUUGGGUUAGGUUGUGUUCUGACCCAAAGGGAUAAAGUGAUCGCGUAUGCAUCGAGGCAAUUGAAGGAACAUGAAAAGAACUACCCCACUCAUGAUCUGGAGUUGGCAGCGGUAGUAUUUGCCUUGAAGAUAUGGAGGCAUUAUCUUUAUGGCACCAAGUGUAAACUUUUCACUGAUCAUAAGAGUCUCCAAUAUCUCUUUAAUCAGAAGGAAUUGAACAUGAGGCAACGACGCUGGCUAGAGUUACUCAAGGACUACGACUGUGAGAUACUUUACCACCCUGGUAAAGCAAAUGUUGUUGCCGAUGCUCUCAGUCGGAAGGUAAACCUUGAAAAGAAAAGGCCAAGAGCGUUGAGAAUUGAAGUUGUCUCGACAAUUGUGGAAAGUAUAAAGAAAGCUCAAGAGGAAGCUUUAGAGAAAAAUGACCGAAAGGAAGAACGUUUGGGCAAAACGUUAGUGUUCGGUACAAACAACCAAGGGUUGAAGGUAUUUCAAGAUAGAAUUUGGGUACCUAAGACGGGCGGAAUAAGAGAUCUUCUGAUGGAAGAAGCUCACAAGACCAUGUACUCAAUUCAUCCCGGCAGUACGAAAAUGUAUAGGGAUCUAAAACCCUAUUAUUGGUGGCCGACGAUGAAGCUCGAUGUUGCUAAGUAUGUGGCCGAGUGUGUAACUUGUGCUAGGGUUAAGGCACAACAUCAGAAACCGUAUGGGAGUUUAGAACCUUUACCCGUACCCAUGGGUAAAUGGGAAGACAUCACCAUGGAUUUUGUGACUAAACUGCCCAGAACAAGGAACGGUCACGACAUGAUUUGGGUGGUCGUUGAUCGCUUCACUAAGAGUGCGCAUUUCAUAGCGGCCAAAGAGAAAUGGUCUAUGGAUAAACUUGCGAAUUCUUACGUGAAGGAAAUUGUGAGGCUUCACGGUGUUCCGUUAACGAUUGUGUCCGAUCGUGAUAGCCGUUUUACCUCAAGGUUUUGGAGGAGUCUACAAGAGGAAUUGGGUACCAAGUUGUGUUUGAGUACAGCUUACCAUCCGCAAACCGAUGGUCAGAGCGAGCGAACGAUUCAAACAUUGGAGGAUAUGCUGAGAGCAUGUACCCUAGAAUUCCAAGGUAACUGGGAUGAACACUUACCUUUAGUAGAAUUCUCCUAUAAUAAUAGUUUCCACUCAAGCAUUAAGAUGGCACCUUAUCACGCUUUGUAUGGGGAGAAGUGUCGAACGCCAUCAUGUUGGCUGGAAGCUGGGGAAAAGCAGUUUAUGGGACCUGAAAUAGUCCAUGAGACUGCUGAAAAGUUGAAAGUGAUAAGGGAAAGGAUGUUAGCUGCUCAAGAUCGACAAAAGAGUUAUGCUGACAAGAAAAGACAACCGAUAUCCUUCGAUGUUGGAGAUUCGGUUUUACUUAAAGUCUCGCCGUGGAAGGGACUUAUAAGAUUUGGGAAACGAGGGAAGUUGAGUCCAAGGUUUAUUGGACCAUUUAAAGUUCUUCAGAGGAUCGGGAAUCAAGCUUACAAGCUAGAGUUACCGGAAGAACUAGAGGGUAUUCAUAACACCUUUCAUGUGUGUUAUUUGAGAAAAUUCACAGGAGAUGUGCCCGACAUAAUUCCGAUUUCUGAGUUAAGGUUGGAUGAAAACAAGAGGUUGAUCGAAGAACCUGAGGCAAUCGUUGACCGUAAGACUAUGAAGUUACGACGCAAGAUGGUCGAUUUAGUGCUUGUGCGCUGGAAACAUACGAAUGGACCAAAUCUCACUUGGGAAACGGAGAGUGACAUGAUGAGUCGCUACCCGCAGUUGUUUGGUGAUAUGUGAUUCCGGGGACGGAAUCAUCCUAAGGGGGAGAGAAUUGUAACACUCGUGUUUCUAGCCUAGGCAUUUAUAUUGAGUUGAUAGUCUAGGUUAACCUUUGUAACUCAUUUUGAAGAAAUGAAAAGGAGUUAUGUGAAUAUUAUGUGAAUUAUGUGUUUUAUGCUUAAUUAUUAGGGCUUAAUUAAUUAAGAAUAAAAAUAAGCGUCAAAAUUAAAGUGUGAGAUAAGCCCGAUAUCUUUACAUAAAGUUGUAGUGGUCGAAACAAGGAUUUCGGGGAUAUAAAGAAUACCAAAAUCCGAGUUAUAACGAAGAAGUUAUGACCUGUCGAAGUUUCGCGACAAAACCGGCACGGUGCUGAAUGUCGUAAAAAGUGAGUUUUUGAUAAACUACUUUUUAGCCUUAGUAAUCUAAACGAAAGUCGUAGUAUUCGUUAAACCGAGAAGUUCGAUAAAAAGAACGCCCAAAUCUGACUUCGUAUGAGGAAGAUAUGAUUUUUCGAAGUUUCAGCGUAGCAGUAGACAGCUAAAAACUCAAAUUUUAGAUCGAGUGAUUUUUAGCCACCACAACCUAAACGAGAAUUGAAGGUCUCGUCAUUAGUAGCACAACGGUAAAAAGUCUGACGAAAACGGACAUCGGAUGAAGAAGUUAUGAAUUUUUAACGGAUUUCUUGUCCCGGUCUGUUAAAAAUAAUAAUCAAAAAAUUAAAUUCAAAAUUAGCUGACAAAGUCUAAAUGGAAGUUGUAGAGCGUAAUUUUAGCUACGCGUGCAUAUAAAGAACGUCAAAAACGGAGCUCGUAUGCGAAAGUUAUGGAUUUUAGAAGUUUUGGCGCGAAAAUCGAGAAAAUUCGCAUAGUCACACUUUGCCACGUCACCCUCGCUUAGAAUGUGACACGUGUCCUGCUGAGUCAUCGAGCUGCUGAUUCAUCCGAAGCCAUGGCACAUUCGAGGAGCGACGCAUAUGCAGCCUAGUCCGAGCCUCGCAAUGCCUGCCACGUGUCCGACCUUCGCACCAACUGUCUCCCUUCCCUCCUACUUCCGGUCCGAACCUCGGACCUAGACUCCGGUCCACUUAGAAGUUGCAAACGAGCCCCUCGCAGGUGCGAGCCAUGUGCAGCCCACAUGCGAGCCCUUCCCUGCGAAGCUUCGGAUCUUCGCCACCUGGAGACUUCUCAGUCCUCCGAUCAGAAGAUUCCCCCUAUAAAUAAAAGGUUGCGAGCCUUCUCGGAUAUUUUUAAGAAUUGCCAUAUUUAGCCCCUUUCUUCAUCUUUUCUUCACCUUAACCUUCCCCGAAGCCCCGGUAUCGAUUGUAAACCCCGGAAUACUCCAUGAAGUGCCCGUGAAGCCCGGAAAAUUUAUCUUUUCGGUUUCGAAGCCCGACUUUCACAAAGCCCAGUUUCUCAAUAAAACUUCCGGUUUUAUUAGAAACGAUCGUUUUAGGAAUCGAAUUGCUGCCCGAUUAUCAUCAAAUCAUGUGAGUGUGUAGUUACUUUCAAUUUACACAUAGAUAUGAAGUAUUUACCUUGAAAUACGUGUUAUGUGUAAAUAUGUUAAUUGUUUAUUUGAGGUGACUGUUGAAUUGAUGUUUUAUAUAAGUUUUAAAAUGUAUAUGCUUUUUAUCUACAAAAUAUGUUGGGUAGAACAUGGGUAGAUGAAAUAGUUGAUGUGUGUUAAAAAUGUGAGAGGCAUCGAUGUUGUUGUUGUUGUUGUUGUUGUCAUCUAGCGGAGUAUAGAUGACGACCACGGACUUUUCUAGACAGUCCAGUGGAACACUAGCAGGUUCGCAACUUGUAGGUGUUGAUGAAUUAAAUGUUCAUUGGUGUACUCCAUCCCCCUCAUGGUUGCCUUUAGGACAUGUAUGGCUGAGGAAACCCCUUAGCAGUAGUGUCCAUCCCGAUGAUAAUCCUUAGGCUAGGUCCCUUGUGAUAGGUGUUUAGGGACGUAAAGUGAGGACAAUGGGAAUGGGUAAUCAGGGUUAUUGUUGAUUGGUGAACUUAAUAAGUAUAUUAUUAUUAUGGGUUGAAAACCCUAUAUGCUCACCAGGCUCCCAAGCCUGACCCACUCAGUUUUAUGUUUACAGGUAGUGGACCCCGAGCAUAGUUGGAGGACGAUGAGAGAUUUUUGGAUUAUAGGCCAGUAGUUGUAUAUAACUGUUGAAAGGCUUAUAAUGUCUUGUUUAUGCUUUUCAUGUGUAUCCAAACAUGACAUCUGGAGGUUUUGAUAUGAAAUGAAACUAUACAUUUCUUAAAGAAGGUUUUGAUAAACUUUUAUCAUGUUUUGUUUUGGGAACAAAUUCCGCAACAUCUUUUAAAAAGAUUUCUCGGAUUUUAAUUUAAAAAGCAUAUAUUAAAUCGGUCUUUUCUAGCCAAGAAAUUAGGGAUGUCACAGACUCGCCGAGUUGUAUGAACAACUCGUCGAGUUCAUCAUCAACUGAUACUCAUGUCCUGACUUGACUCGCCGAGUUGUAUGAACAACUCGUCGAGUUACUCUUCAUCUUAUGAACACGUUCUGUCCUCGACUCGCCGAGUUCCAUGAAGAUUGUCUUGGACACACCGAGUCCGUUCAUGCACUCUCCGAGUACCAUGAAUUCCCAUAACACUUUGCUUAGUCCUGAACGUUGGGUCACUCCCCAGGACUCCUAAAACCCUUCCACACUCAACUAGUCCUUAUGACGCUCACUGAUAUGGGACCAAAACCCUUGGACUCGCCGAGUCUAUCACAUUUGUUACUAAGAACUUCGAUUUUUGAUGUACAACACUUAACCAAAUGAUAGAUCCAGGUCCCCAAACUCGAUCUAGCACGUAAAGUUACAAACUUUACGUGCAUGCAUGGGAUAUUAGAGCUUAAAAGGCUCUAAAAUGGUUCUUUUGUUGCAUGGGGCCUUCCUUGGUGCUAAAAGCAACCUAGAUCUAACUUGUGGCUCAUAAAAGGACAUGAUACAGAAGCCCAAACCCCAACCAUGUUUACAAACAUGGUUGGCCACCAAAAAUGGCUUAUAAAAGCCCUAAAUCACCCCAAAGAGGGAUCUAACAAAUGAAUGAGCAAGGUUCAGACUUUAUACCUUCCAAAGACUGCAAAUGAUGAACCAACCUCGAAUCCUUUAGUCCCCUCUUGAUCCUUCUAUGCUCUUCCUUCUUCCUUGAGAUCAAAACUCACAAGAAUCACUCAAAAAGCCUUAGAUCUUCACAAAAACGGCUAGGGUUUGCUAUGAGGAGUGUUUGGGAGCAUAAAGGGGGAAAGGAGGCUGCAUAAGGUCGUUUAAAUAGGGCGUAAACCCCUGGAUUAGGGUUUUUGCCCAAACAGUGGCUACUCGCCGAGUCCGCAACUUAAUCCUCGCGCCUCAUCCCGCUUCUACUCGGCGAGUCAGUCCUUCGACUUGUCGAGUCCAAGGCCAAAAAUGCCAAAAAUACAUGAAGAUUUAAUAACAUAAUACAUACCAAGAACCAGGUGCUACAAUGUGGACUCGAGAUUUUCGGCGUUGAGUUCCCGAUUGAUUUAAUUCCUAUUGCGAUGGGAGAUGUCUGUGUCAUCAUGGGCAUGGACUGGUUGAGCAAAUUUGGAGCGGUUAUCGACUGCGAGCGACAGCUGGUGACCAUACGAGACCCUAGUGGGGGAGUUCUUACGGUGUACGACGAGGGGACACGUUCUGGGUCAGUAUUUUGUUCGGCCGCUAGAGCGAGGCAGAGUCUACAGCAGGGUUGUAGUGGGUUUCUGGCGUAUGUGAUGGAUAUGAUGGUUGAUUCAGGGAGGCCGAGGUCAGUUAACGAGGUUUCGAUAGUGCGAGAGUUCCCGGAUGUUUUAUUGGAGGAGUUGCCGGGCGUGCCUCCUUAGAGGCAGGUAGAGUUUCGUAUCGAUUUGGUUCCGGGGGCAGCACCUAUUGCCAAGGUGCCCUAUCGCCUUGCACCUCCAGAGAUACAGGGGUUAUCCUCACAGCUAUAGGAGCUGUUGGGGAAGGGUUUUAUUCGGCCGAGCAGUUCGCCGUGGGGAGCGCCUAUCCUCUUUGUCAAGAAAAAGGAUGGUUCACACCGGAUGUGCAUUGAUUACCGGGAGUUGAACAAGUUGUCAGUCAAGAAUCGUUACCCGUUGCCGAGGAUCGAUGAUUUGUUCGAUCAGUUACAGGGCGCAUCUUGGUUCUCCGAGAUCGAUUUGACGUCCAUAUAUCAUCAGAUGAGGGUGCGACAUAAGUAUAUCCAGAAGACAGCGUUCAGGACUCGUUACGGGCAUUACGAGUUCGUGGUGAUGCCUUUCGGGCUCACCAAUGCACCGACGGCGUUCAUGGAUCUCAUGAACAGAGUGUGCAGGCCAAUGUUGGAUCGCUCGGUGAUCGUGAUCAUCGACGAUAUUUUGGGGUAUUCGAAAUCCAGAGAGCAGCAUGAGGAGCAUUUGAAGGAGAUCCUUGGAGUUCUGAGAUCGGAGAGGCUUUAUGCCAAAUUCUCCAAGUGUGAUUUCUGGUUACGAGAGGUCCAGUUCCUAGGGCACCUCGUUAACCAGAAUGGGAUAUUGGUCGAUUCGGCCAAGAUUGAGGCAGUGAUGAGUUGGGAGGUGCCGAGAUCACCCACCGAGAUUAGGAGUUUCUUAGGGUUGGCUGGCUAUUAUCGGAGAUUUAUCAAGGAUUUCUCCAAGAUCGUCGUGCCACUUACCAGAUUGACCCGGAAGAGUGUUGUUUUUACAUGGGGCACAGAGUAGCAGGCCUCCUUCGAGACACUUCGCCAGAGACUAUGCGAAGCCCUGGUCUUAGCCCUUCCGGAGGGGAUGGAGGACUUUGUAGUGUAUUACGACGCGUCAAUAUCGGGGCUGGGAGUGGUGCUGAUGCAGAGAGGGAAUGUGAUAGCGUACGCAUCGAGGCAGCUGAAGCCUCAUGAGGCGAGGUAUCCCACCCACGAUCUAGAGCUGGCGGCAGUAGUGUUCGCCCUCAAGAUCUGGCGUCACUAUCUGUAUGGGGUUCGGUGUACCAUAUACACGGACCACAAGAGCUUGAAGUAUUUGAUGGAUUAGCCCAACCUGAACAUGCGCCAGAGGAGAUGGUUGGAUGUGGUGAAGGAUUACGAUUUUGAGAUCUUGUACCACCCGGGCAAGGAUAACGUUGUAGCCGAUGCCCUGAGUCGUAGGGCGUAGGGCGCCCCGAUACGAGACGUUUGUAUGACAAUGAAAGUGAUGACUCCGGUGUUGGACACUAUUCAUGGGGCUCAGGCUAAGGCCGCGAGGCCAUAAAACCAGAAGAGAGNGGCCGCGAGACCGGAGAACCAUAAGCGAGAGUGGGUUAUCGGUCAGGUAUUAGAGUUCGUUACCGAUAACCGAGGGCUUAUGACCUUUCAGGGUCGGAUUUGGGUACCGUUUGUGGGCGGAACGCAUACCGUCUUGAUGGAAGAGGCGCAUAGAUCGAGGUUCUCGAUCCAUCCCGGGGCCACUAAGAUGUAUUUGGAUCUGAAAAGAGAGUAUUGGUGGCCCUGUAUGAAGAGGGAUGUUGCAUGGUUCGUUGAGAGGUGAUUGACAUGUCGCAGGGUUAAGGCCGAGCACCAACGUCCGCAUGGUAAGUUACAGCCUUUGGAGAUUCGCGAAUGGAAGUGGGAACAAAUUACCAUGGACUUUAUCAACAAAUUGCCAAGUACUACGAGAGGUGUCGAUGCGAUUUGGGUGAUCGUGGACAGGUUGACAAAGAGCGCCCAUUUUCUUGCUAUCAAUAAGAGUUCUUCCGCUGAGAGGCUGGCAGAGUUGUACGUGAGAGAAGUGGUAUCGCGGCAUGGAGUACCGAUCUUGAUCGUCUCAGAUCAAGACGUGCGUUUCACUUCCAGGUUCUAGAAGAAAUUUCAUGAGGAUUUGGGUACGAGGCUGCAUUUUAGCACCGCAUACCACCCACAGACCGACGGGCAGAGCGAGCGGACGAUUCAGACGCUCGAGGACAUGCUUCGGGCAUGUGUAUUGGACUUUAGAGGGAGUUGGGACACAUAUUUACCUUUGGCUGAGUUUUCCUAUAACAACAGCCAUCAUUCGAGCAUUGGUAUGCCACCCUUUGAGUUAUUGUAUGGGAGGAGGUGCCGGACUCCCAUUUGCUGGGGUGAGGUCGGGCGGCGUGUGAUGGGUAGUACAGAGAUAAUACUUCAGACGACUGAGCAAAUACAACAGGUCAAGCAGAGGUUACUGACGGCUCAGAGUCGUCAGAAGAGCUACAUAGACAGGCGUCGCUCGGAGCUUGAGUUUCAAGUUGGUGACUUCGUACUCCUGAAGGUAUCUCCUUGGAAAUGAGUGAUCCGAUUCAGGAAGAGAGGCAAGUUGGGGCCUCGGUAUAUUGGUCCUUUUGGGGUGACUGCCAGGGUGGGCAGGGUAGCAUACCGUUUGGAGCUACCUACGGAGUUGAGUCAAAUUCUUGAUACCUUCCACGUGUCUCAGUUGAGGAAGUGUAUCGCCGAUGAGUCGGCAGUGGUUCCAUUAGAGGACAUUCAGGUGGAUGCGAGACUGAACUAUGUUGAGAGGCCGAUCGCGAUUCGGGAUAGGAGGAUCAAGGUUUUGAGAAAUAAGGAGGUGUCAUUGGUUCAAGUCCAGUGGCAACAUCGGAAGGGGUCCAAGCUGACCUGGGAGUCGGAUUUAGAGAUGCGUGAGGAGUAUCCAGAGUUAUUUGCUGAAAGAAACUUUGAGGGCGAAGUCUAAUUCUAGGGGGAGAAUUGUAACACCCAGUUUCCCAGGUAUAUUGGUUUAUGUUGUAUUUCUUUAAUUAUGUAAGGCGACUCGACGAGUUAGUGCUUCGACUCGUCGAGUCUGGUCGCGACUGGAUGACGUGGUUAAUGAGAUGACUCGACGACUCAAUGGAGUGACUCGUCAAGUCAGAGCUGAUGAAAGAAACCCUAAUUUCUUGGGUUGGGACCUAUUCAAAGGCCCUUAUGGCCUUCAUUUGCGGCUACCAGUCCCUUGGGAGAAACCCUAGAGUGCUUGAGCGUUUUGAGAGAGAAGGGAAACCAUUCUUGUCCUUUGUGGUGUUGUUUAGCAAGAAGAACGAGGUCCUAGCCAAGAGGAAGCAAAGGAGGUUGCUAUUCUAUGGAUUUGAUGCUAAGAUCAUCACUUUUGAGGUAUUAAUUCGGCUCUUCUUCUGUUUUAUGAAGAAUAUAUGGAUUUAGGGUAUCUUGUGCCCUUUGCUAGGUUGAUUUGAUGUCCAAAAAGUCCCUUUCUGGUGAUGAGGCUUUGGAUCUGGAUCCAUAGAGGUCUAGAGAGCCUUACUCAUCAAGCUUUAUGAAGAGCAAUGGAGGUGAUGACCUUGGGUUAAGGUAUUUGGGGCUAAAUCAUCAUAUAUGGUCAUAUAGAUGUUGCAUGUGCAUCAAGAUAGAGACUUUACGUGAUUAUUGAGCUUGGGAAGGUUAGAUCUAAGGGUUAGAGGAAUAGAUCUGGCCUCAGAAGGUUGUUUGAGGUUGUGCAUGAAAUGAACUCACCGAGUCCAUGAGCGAACUCAACGAGUCGGAGCGGGUUGUCCCGUGACUCAGAUAUGUGGAUGACUCGCCGAGUUGGGUGAGUGACUCGAUGAGUCAGAAAAGAUUCAAAGCACUAGAGUUCACGUAUGGACUCGACGAGUCUAUGCGUGACUCGACGAGUCAGGUCAAAGGUUGACCGUUGACCAGCGUUGACCAGGGUUGACUAGUGUUGACUUAAUA
rnacentral:lncRNA from 1 species